rnacentral:rRNA from 1 species
GUGGGGAAUCUUCCGCAAUGGACGAAAGUCUGACGGAGCAACGCCGCGUGAACGAUGACGGCCUUCGGGUUGUAAAGUUCUGUUAUACGGGACGAAUGGUACGACGGUCAAUACCCGUCGUAAGUGACGGUACCGUAAGAGAAAGCCACGGCUAACUACGUGCCAGCAGCCGCGGUAAUACGUAGGUGGCAAGCGUUGUCCGGAAUUAUUGGGCGUAAAGGGCGCGCAGGCGGCGUCGUAAGUCGGUCUUAAAAGUGCGGGGCUUAACCCCGUGAGGGGACCGAAACUGCGAUGCUAGAGUAUCUGAGAGGAAAGCGGAAUUCCUAGUGUAGCGGUGAAAUGCGUAGAUAUUAGGAGGAACACCAGUGGCGAAAGCGGCUUUCUGGACGACAACUGACGCUGAGGCGCGAAAGCCAGGGGAGCAAACGGGAUUAGAUACCCGUGUAGUCC